UGGGGAGCAAACAGGAUUAGAUACCCUGGUAGUCCACGCCGUAAACGAUGUCGACUUGGAGGUUGUGCCCUUGAGGCGUGGCUUCCGGAGCUAACGCGUUAAGUCGACCGCCUGGGGAGUACGGCCGCAAGGUUAAAACUCAAAUGAAUUGACGGGGGCCCGCACAAGCGGUGGAGCAUGUGGUUUAAUUCGAUGCAACGCGAAGAACCUUACCUGGUCUUGACAUCCACGGAACUUUCCAGAGAUGAGAAUGUGCCUUCGGGAACCGUGAGACAGGUGCUGCAUGGCUGUCGUCAGCUCGUGUUGUGAAAUGUUGGGUUAAGUCCCGCAACGAGCGCAACCCUUAUCCUUUGUUGCCAGCGGUCCGGCCGGGAACUCAAAGGAGACUGCCAGUGAUAAACUGGAGGAAGGUGGGGAUGACGUCAAGUCAUCAUGGCCCUUACGACCAGGGCUACACACGUGCUACAAUGGCGCAUACAAAGAGAAGCGACCUCGCGAGAGCAAGCGGACCUCAUAAAGUGCGUCGUAGUCCGGAUUGGAGUCUGCAACUCGACUCCAUGAAGUCGGAAUCGCUAGUAAUCGUGGAUCAGAAUGCCACGGUGAAUACGUUCCCGGGCCUUGUACACACCGCCCGUCACACCAUGGGAGUGGGUUGCAAAAGAAGUAGGUAGCUUAACCUUC
rnacentral:rRNA from 1 species